rnacentral:rRNA from 1 species
CCUGGAAACAGAUGCUAAUACCGGAUAACAACAGAUGAUGCCUAUCAACUGUUUAAAAGAUGGUUCUGCUAUCACUCUCGGAUGGACCUGCGGUGCAUUAGCUAGUUGGUAGGGUAACGGCCUACCAAGGCGAUGAUGCAUAGCCGAGUUGAGAGACUGAUCGGCCACAUUGGGACUGAGACACGGCCCAAACUCCUACGGGAGGCAGCAGGU